GGUUACUGAAUUACUAGUUUCAUCACUGAUACUUUUAUAGGGCAUAUUAAAAUACAUAAAAAUUCAUGUGAGAUCAACAUGACUGUAAGAUUGAUUAAAUAAUUUACUAAUUGUAAUUGGAGCUUUUUUUUUUUUUUUUUUUGAGUAUUCAAGGUAAAGAAAAUUAAAUUGAAGGACUCGUGUCUUCUCUCUGUAAAAGUGAAUGAUUUAAAUGUUGGACAAAUGAUUUUUUUAAAAAAAAGAGAAAUAGAAAACAC
rnacentral:lncRNA from 1 species